rnacentral:rRNA from 1 species
GAGGGAUGACGGCCUUCGGGUUGUAAACCUCUUUUAGCAGGGAAGAAGCGAAAGUGACGGUACCUGCAGAAAAAGCGCCGGCUAACUACGUGCCAGCAGCCGCGGUAAUACGUAGGGCGCAAGCGUUAUCCGGAAUUAUUGGGCGUAAAGAGCUCGUAGGCGGUUUGUCGCGUCUGCUGUGAAAUCCCGAGGCUCAACCUCGGGUCUGCAGUGGGUACGGGCAGACUAGAGUGCGGUAGGGGAGAUUGGAAUUCCUGGUGUAGCGGUGGAAUGCGCAGAUAUCAGGAGGAACACCGAUGGCGAAGGCAGAUCUCUGGGCCGUAACUGACGCUGAGGAGCGAAAGGGUGGGGAGCAAACAGGAUUAGAUACCC